AUUGAACGCUGGCGGCAUGCCUUACACAUGCAAGUCGAACGGCAGCACGGGUGCUUGCACCUGGUGGCGAGUGGCGAACGGGUGAGUAAUACGUCGGAACGUACCUUAUCGUGGGGGAUAACGCAGCGAAAGCUGUGCUAAUACCGCAUACGCCCUGAGGGGGAAAGCGGGGGAUCGCAAGACCUCGCGCGAUUAGAGCGGCCGAUGCCUGAUUAGCUUGUUGGUGGGGUAAAAGCCCACCAAGGCGACGAUCAGUAGCUGGUCUGAGAGGACGAGCAGCCACACUGGGACUGGGACACGGCCCAGACUCCUACGGGAGGCAGCAGUGGGGAAUUUUGGACAAUGGGGGCAACCCUGAUCCAGCAAUGCCGCGUGAGUGAAGAAGGCCUUCGGGUUGUAAAGCUCUUUUGUCAGGGAAGAAACACCGGCUCUAACACAGUCCGGGAAUGACGGUACCUGAAGAAUAAGCACCGGCUAACUACGUGCCAGCCGCCGCCGUAA
rnacentral:rRNA from 1 species